rnacentral:rRNA from 1 species
GACGAACGCUGGCGGCGUGCUUAACACAUGCAAGUCGAACGAUGAAGCUAGAGCUUGCUCUGGUGGAUUAGUGGCGAACGGGUGAGUAACACGUGAGUAACCUGCCCCGAACUCUGGGAUAACUGCUGGAAACGGUAGCUAAUACCGGAUAUGACCAAUGAAGGCAUCUUCUGUUGGUGGAAAGAAUUUCGGUUCGGGAUGGACUCGCGGCCUAUCAGCUUGUUGGUGAGGUAACGGCUCACCAAGGCGACGACGGGUAGCCGGCCUGAGAGGGGGAUCGGCCCCACGGGGACUGAGACACGGCCCAGGCUCCUACGGGAAGGAGCAGUGGGGAAUAUUGGACCAUGGGCGCAAGCCUGGUGGCGCAACGCCGCGGGAGGGACGAAGGACUUCGGGUUGUAAACCUCUUUUAGUAGGGAAGAAGCGAAAGUGACGGUACCUGCAGAAAAAGCACCGGCUAACUACGUGCCAGCCGCCGCUGUAA